CUGCCAACUGUCUCGUUCACCGACAUUCUACAUUUGCUCUCUUACGACAAUGAAAUAAUUCGCCGAUAAAUAUUUGGAAAACUUUUGAGCAAAGCAAUGUAGGCGAGAAAUUCAGCAAAAUUUAUAAGAUCAUGUCAAUAAAUAAAAGGGAAAAUAUAUUUGUACCACCUGAUAUUGCCCCCGAAAUAUUCUACAUUCAUCAAAGAACCUAUGUAAGGUAAUACAAUAUAUUUUCUCUUUGUUUUCGUUCAUUAAUAUAAUCUUACAUAUUCAACAUCUGCUGUUGUUAUUAUUAUUAUUAUUAUUAUUAUUCAAAGGUUUUUUUUUUCAUCAAACAUUCACCUCAUUAACACAUAUUACAAUGCUUCAAGUCAAUUACAAUACUCGAUUAUUUUUCUUAUUUUCAUGUACAAUUUACCAUACAAUAAAUAUAUAUUUGUUAUUUAA